CUGUGAAGGUCGUGCUGAUGUGCGACGGAAUCCACGAUUUUCGCAGAGAGUUUUUUUUAGACGUCCAUCGCACCGCAACGGCUCCGAAAGAGUCGUGCGGCCCGAACACGGGAGAGAACGCUGAGCGUUACAUU
rfam:Corynebacterium vitaeruminis DSM 20294, complete genome.